UACCAGCACCCCGAGUGGUCGGGACGUUUAUUGGGCCUAAAGCAUCCGUAGCCGGUUCUACAAGUCUUCCGUUAAAUCCAACUGCUUAACAGGUGGGCUGCGGAAGAUACUAUAGGGCUAGGAGGCGGGAGAGGCAAGCGGUACUCGAUGGGUAGGGGUAAAAUCCGUUGAUCCAUUGAAGACCACCAGUGGCGAAGGCGGCUUGCCAGAACGCGCUCGACGGUGAGGGAUGAAAGCUGGGGGAGCAAACCGG
rnacentral:rRNA from 1 species